GGGGGCGUAAAGGUUUCGACGGGGAUCUUGAAGCACGAUAAGCGAGUAGAGGAGCGCACUCUCUUUAAACGGCGUACGUUUUAAAAUUAAACGACAACGAUAAUUUUGAAUUAGCAGCUGCUUAAUGCUGCUCGUCUUACCUUUGAGUACCACGGCUUAGGAUAAGGCGUCGAUCAGUGGUGAACGUCAUUGAGCGACGGCUGUAGCUCUUUGAUGUAUUGCAGUCUACCGAUAAUUUUCGCCUGCUUGUUUGCGGAUAUUAAAGGGAAACGGAGCAAUCCGGAAUAACAAGCUAUACUCGUAGAAAUUCGUGGGGAUAGGUUUUCGGACAGGAGUUCGAUUCUCCUCGCCUCCACCA
rnacentral:tmRNA from 1 species